UACAGGGGGUGCAAACGUUGCUCGGAAUCAUUGGGCGUAAAGCGCACGUAGGCGGUCUGUUAUGUCGAAUGUGAAAGCCCUCGGCUUAACUGAGGAAGUGCAUCCGAAACUGGCAGGCUAGAGUACCAAAGAGGGUCGCGGAAUUCCCGGUGUAGAGGUGAAAUUCGUAGAUAUCGGGAGGAACACCGGUGGCGAAGGCGGCGACCUGGGUGGAUACUGACGCUGAGGUGCGAAAGCGUGGGGAGCAAACAGG
rnacentral:rRNA from 1 species